rnacentral:rRNA from 1 species
GAUGAACGCUGACAGAAUGCUUAACACAUGCAAGUCUACUUGAACUUUGGUUUGGGUGGCGGACGGGUGAGUAACGCGUAAAGAACUUGCCUCACAGUUAGGGGCAACAUUUGGAAACGAAUGCUAAUACCUGAUAUUAUGAUUUUAGGGCAUCUUAAGAUUAUGAAAGCUAUAUGCGCUGUGAGAGAGCUUUGCGUCCCAUUAGCUAGUUGGAGAGGUAACGGCUCACCAAGGCGAUGAUGGGUAGCCGGCCUGAGAGGGUGAACGGCCACAAGGGGACUGAGACACGGCCCUUACUCCUACGGGAGGCAGCAGUGGGGAAUAUUGGACAAUGGACCAAGAGUCUGAUCCAGCAAUUCUGUGUGCACGAUGACGUUUUUCGGAAUGUAAAGUGCUUUCAGUUGGGAAGAAAAAAAUGACGGUACCAACAGAAGAAGUGACGGUAAAUA